UAUUUUUGUAGCUGGCAGCCCGACCCCGAGACGUUUCGCAGCAGUUGAAUGUUUUUGUGUAAUAAACUAUGAAGUUGUGCAGUUUGCGGGAGGGGGCUUGUUUUUAGAAACAAGGUCGUUCUUUGUGUCAAAAAGUAGAUAUCUCUGAACGAAUUAACAUUAACAAAUUGACUUAUUUCAAUGAAAGACUGAUUUGUGCUCGACUAAAAUAAACAGUGUGUAUAUGUCGUGUUUAAUUGUUCCUAUUUAGAACACACUGUCCGUUUCCAUCGCUCCAAUGAGUCUGGGAGGAGUUACAAACACUGAGGGAUCGAAUGCAGGCGGAAUAUUCGUUCAGUUUAAUCAAGAUUGCACGUCAUUGGUGGCGGGCAGCAGCACCGGAUAUCACUUAUUUGCUCUAACUCCUGAUGAUGGUAUCGAAGAAAUAUAUGCGAGUCGCAGCGGACAGGAGACUUGUCUCGUCGACCGUCUCUUCAGCAGCUCGCUGGUGGCUGUUGUCACAGUAUCCGCUCCCAGGAAGCUGAUAGUGUGCCACUACAAGAAGGGCACCGAGAUCUGCAACUACAUCUACAGCAACACCAUCCUCGCCGUCAAACUGAACCGCUCGAGGUUGAUCGUGUGCCUCGAGGAGUCGCUGCACAUCCACAACAUCCGGGACAUGAAGAUCCUGCACACGAUCCGCGACACGCCGCCCAACCCGCGCGGCCUGUGCGCGCUGUCGCCCUGCGUGGAGCACUGCUACGUGGCGUACCCCGGCUCCAGCGCGGUGGGCGAGGUGCAGAUCUUCGACGCGGUGCACCUCAACGCCAAGUGCGCCAUCAGCGCGCACGAGAGCCCCGUGGCGGCGCUGGCCUGGUCCUCCUGCGGGCGGCGCCUGGCCACCGCCUCGGAGCGCGGCACCGUCAUCCGCGUGUUCGCCGUGCCCGACCGCACGCGCCUGUUCGAGUUCCGACGCGGCGUCAAGCGCUGCGUCACCAUCGCCUGCCUCGCCUUCAGCAGCUGCGGCCUGUACCUCGCCGCCACCUCCAACACGGAGACCGUGCACGUGUUCAAGCUGCAGGAGGGCGGCGCGGGCGAGGAGGGCGGCGCGGGCGAGACGGCGGGCGCCGCGGCGGCGGGCGAGGCGGACACGUGGCUGGGCUGGCUGUCGGCCGCGGUGUCGGCGGGCGCGGGCUACCUGCCGGCGCACGUGGCCGACGUGCUGGCGCAGGGCCGCGCCUUCGCCGCCGCGCGCCUGCCCGCCACCGGCCACCGCGCCGUCGCCGCCGUCACGAGAGUGUCGCGCAGUCCGCGGCUGCUGGUGGCCACGUCGGCCGGGGUGCUGUACGUGUACGCGCUGGACGCGGCGGAGGGCGGCGAGUGCGCGCUGCUGCGGCAGCACCGCUUCCUGGCGCCGGAGGAGGCGCCGGGCUCCGCGGACCCGCAAGUGGCGACGGGCAACAGUUACGCGGGCGCGCUGCGCGGCCGGGACCCCGCCGCCAUGACAGGCGAGGGGGGCGCGGGGGGAGCGGGGAGCGCGGAGGAGCGGCGCGAGUGACCGCCGCCCGCACUCCGCGCGCACCGCUAUACGUACUCUACCGACUACCGACCAUUCCGGCUCCGGCGGCUGUGUAUCACGAGCGUGACGUCACCGUGUUGUCGCGAUUUAUUCUAGUUUGCUCAUUUUAAUGGACAUUUAUGUGAAUAUUGUGAUAAUAAUUUGUAAAAACCGAAUUUUAUUUUUUAAUAUAGUUUUUAAUUUUAAUCAUUACUUUUCUUUUUACUUUUACUUUACCCGCGCUUAUCCCUCGAUUGUGCUUCGGUAUUGUUACUAUAGAAAUAAUUUGUAGAAAUUAGCUUAGUAUUUAUAGUCAUUAGAAACAUGAUCAUCGGUCAUUAGCGAUUUCCGAAAGCAAAAGUUAAAUAUGAUUGAAUGAUCCUAGUCCCUCGCACCGGCUCCGCUCUGCUCUCCGCGAACAUCCCCGCGACCACCGAAACCUACACCAUCGCUUAACUUAACUUCUAAAAUUGAUUUUGUUUCGUUCGAACCUAAUCUUAAAAGCCAUUAUUUAGUUUCAAACAAAUGACCCUUUUACCUGUUACUUGACUAGAAAUAUAAUGGAAAUGAAUAUUUGUAUUCUUUUACAGACAAGUAGUAAGCAAAAAAAUAGAUCCUAAAGUAAUUAUUUGACUGUAAAUAAUCUGACACACGUGACAGUGGUCAUUAUUUAUUUGUAAUAUUUCUAGUGAAGUAAUCAGAAGUCCACACUAGAAUUUCGAGUGUAGUGUGGACGCGCGCGCCGGGCACGCUUCCGACAUCUUGGUCAUCAUCAUGUGUCUGAACGAAUCACAUUGGAUCUGCUUAACACCAAGCGAAUGUAUCAACGUGGUUGUACCUUCCAAACGAACAGUAAAACCGAUUAUAGACCCCCGUCCUGCGACACCCUCCGUUCGUGACGUCACUGGAGUGGAGUGUUCAAUGGAAAUUUGAAAAUGGUUUCUAUUGUUUACUAGUUGACCCGGCAGACUUCGUAGUGCCUCAAUCGAUAAAUAAAAGAUCUAAACUUUUGUAUAAAAUAAACUUAAAACAAACAAAAGGAAUCCGUCCGACGGGGGACACAUUAAUGGACAAAACAAUUUAUAUUAAUUAUAACAAUUUAUUUUUAUUUAAUUCCGAUCAUUUUCAUAUUUAUCUGCCUUUUAGACCUUCUCUGAACUUCCACAAAUAAAAUUAGCCAAAUCGGGCCAGCCGUUCUGGAGUUUUAGCGAGACUAACGAAGAGCAAUUCAUUUUUAUAUAUGAGUCGUCUAUUAUCAAAGGUGGCAAUCUGUGCAUUUGGAAAAAAAAAAAUUAUUGAUAUGUCAAUACAGAUUUAUUUGAAUAUAAUCGUCUCCUUCAAAGAAUACGGUUCAAAACCUGCAUUAAAUAAAGGUUAAUAGUUAACCUGUUAUUUAUCUAAGAUGUCGUUCCGAAGAGUUUUGUGACUGCCAAUGGAAUACAAAGUCAAUAAUUCGUUUUUCUGAUUUACCAAUCAUUGUCCAAAAGUCAGAUUGCCGCCUUUGAUAAUAGUCGACUCAUAUAUAGAUUUCAAACGCACCAAUAGAUCGAUUUCCCCUACUAUAAUAUAUAAACAACGAAUUAAAUUCAUUAGAAUUUUUUGAGAUAUUCUUUGAGACACAUCAUAAUAACCUAACCGCCGCCGCCGCUAACCUUCACAUUGAGCCGGCGCAGGGCGCGCGCGGACCCUCCGAUGUACGCACGCGUCUCUGCGAUUCUUUCUAAUUAACUGUUUGCAUUUGAAACACUUGUCGAUUGUUUUGCAUUAUUAAUUAAUCAUUAAUUUUACGAUGUCAUUCAAUCUUUAAACGUACAUCGGAGAUCCGCAACGCUGGACAAACUAUUUCAACGUGGACGUUCUUUUUUCAAGUCUCACAAUAAAAAUGUAACACGAAAGUGUUGAAGCCAAACAUUGAGUCCACGUUCUGCUGCUAUUGUUGUACGAUAUUGAUGAGUCUGGACGAGAGGAACGUUCACGUUAGUGAGUCGCAAGUCGGAGACGUGAGUGUGGUAGCGAGUUGUGAAGGUUGUGGGCCAGCUGCAGGUGUGUGUGCGUCAGAUUCAGAGCGCGGCCGGGAGCUGGGCGCCGCGCUCGAGCCCUCCCCGCCGCGGGGACCCUUCGACCUCCGCGACCCCGACCACUUCCCCCCCAUCGCCGUCAGGGCACCGCAGCACUAGGACCGCCGCGCCCGCCGGACAGAACUUUCAAUGUUUAGUUCAAUUCUACAAAACAUACACCUACAUCAAACUUUAUGUAAUUAAUAUAGAUAUCUAAAAGAUUGUUUGUGUCAGAAAUAUUGACCAGAACUUGGACCCGUGGGACGGGGCCCGACGUGGCCCGCCGCGAGCCGCUAGUGUAAGUUGUCGUCCGACUGUCUUGUCCCUUAGAUAAGUCGUUUUUACAAUUUUAUCACUAUCUCGAUUAUAUUAUUGUAGACAAAUUUUACAAAUUUCAUAUAAAUUAAAUUCAAAUUGUAUUUACUUUGAUAUUAUAUACUAAAAGCAUGUGACAUUACUAAAUUUAGGAAUAAAAACAAAACAAAAAAUAAUAAAUAUUUCAAUAAUUCUAUAUUAAAUCCGGACAGACAGAUGAGACGACGUUAGUGUAAUUAUUGUAAUAUAUUUAGUUAAAUUGACCCUGUCUCUUUGUUCUAUGACUUUAUAGUGCAGCUUACAAUUAUAAGAUCUGAAAUAAUAAAAUAAAAAUGUAAAAGGAAAUGCAAAUAAAUAAUAAACAAGAUAAAAGUUUAUUUAUGAAGAAGCGCGCGGGGCGUGCCGCGGGGCGCGGGGUGCGGGGCGCACUCUUGCACGUGGCUGCGGCAGCUGGGCGGCCGCUAGAGGCUGCUAGUGACUGCACAGUGCACAGUGCACGCUGACCACAGAUAAUAAUACACUUAAUGUGACGAGCGGCGACGAGAACCCGUCCGAAGCGCGCAGCGUUGGAAUACAAUUUAAAAAAUAACAACAAAACUACAAACCGUAGACGCGACUCGAUGCUCACUAACGUGCAUCUAGACAUUUCUGUAAUUUCAAAGGCAAAAAACUUGUAUAAACAAAUUGUAAAUUUUUAUUAUAAUUUAUUGUAUAUUAGUGGGACUUCGUAAAAUAAUUUAAAAAAAAACUAUCAGAGGGACCGCCCUCGCGACCUCCGUGUCAAUAUAAAUAUCGUGAAGUUCGGAUUAUAAUAAAGUGAGUAAUUAUAUAAGUGACUGUAUCUCCACAUCGGCGUUUGUAUAUAAUUAGAGGUGUCAUCUGAAGCCACGAGCGGCUGUAAUAUUUAAAUAACAAUUAGUCUAGCGGUUAGCGAGAUAUACAAUCGUCAAAUUAAAUACAUGGCAACACUUCUUCCUCUGUCUCACUGUAACAUAUGUUGCCUAUUUCGAAACCAAACAGUGGCUAUAGCUAAAAUAUAAAGAACUUAAUAUACGUAGGUACAAAUUCUAGUAUUUAUUUUAGUUCCGUGUGUGCUCCUUAAGGUGCGUGUGUCUAUAGCUUUUAACGCUCCGCUGCGACUUGCUCAGAGAUGUAACAGGCUCCGACCGGACAAAGGAGACAAACUUUACAUCACCCGCAGUCUACCUCCGCGCGCCUGCUCCUACUGCUACCUUCAAUUUAUAAAUUGUACAGAAUACUCUGGUGUAUUAUUUUUACUUUGUCAUCGUAGAAUUUGUUCCGUAAUCGCAAUCUAGUUGUAUGUCUACCACUAAAAAUGUUUCACUAUAAUUAAAGAGAAGUUAAAAGUUAUGGAGACGCGCACGCUGGCUGGUCUUCUAGUUUAAAUUAAAUUGUAAAUAAAAAUGAAUAAAGUUUUCUACGAAACUGCAA